UGGGGAAUAUUGGACAAUGGGCGAAAACCUGAUCCAGCCAUGCCGCGUGUGUGAAGAAGGUCUUCGGAUUGUAAAGCACUUUAAGUUGGGAGGAAGGGCAGUUACCUAAUACGUGAUUGUUUUGACGUUACCGACAGAAUAAGCACCGGCUAACUCUGUGCCAGCAGCCGCGGUAAUACAGAGGGUGCAAGCGUUAAUCGGAAUUACUGGGCGUAAAGCGCGCGUAGGUGGUUAGUUAAGUUGGAUGUGAAAUCCCCGGGCUCAACCUGGGAACUGCAUUCAAAACUGACUGACUAGAGUAUGGUAGAGGGUGGUGGAAUUUCCUGUGUAGCGGUGAAAUGCGUAGAUAUAGGAAGGAACACCAGUGGCGAAGGCGACCACCUGGACUGAUACUGACACUGAGGUGCGAAAGCAUGGGGAGCAAACAGGAUUAGAUACCCUUGUAGUCCCUGAGCGGGCUGGCAAGGCGCAU
rnacentral:rRNA from 1 species